CUACGGGAUGCACCAGUGGGGAAUAUUGCACAAUGGGGGAAACCCUGAUGCAGCAACGCCGCGUGGAGGAUGACGCAUUUCGGUGUGUAAACUCCUUUUAUAUAGGAAGAUAAUGACGGUACUAUAUGAAUAAGCACCGGCUAACUCCGUGCCAGCAGCCGCGGUAAUACGGAGGGUGCAAGCGUUACUCGGAAUCACUGGGCGUAAAGCGCGCGCAGGCGGCCUUUUAAGUUGGAUGUGAAAGCCUAUGGCUUAACCAUAGAACUGCAUCCAAAACUAUCAGGCUAGAGUCUGGGAGGGGAAGAUGGAAUUAGUUGUGUAGGGGUAAAAUCCGUAGAGAUAACUAGGAAUACCAAAAGCGAAGGCGAUCUUCUGGAACAGUACUGACGCUGAGGCGCGAAAGCGUGGGUAGCGAACGGGAUUAGAUACCCUAGUAGUC
rnacentral:rRNA from 1 species